rnacentral:rRNA from 1 species
GACAGAGGGUGCAAACGUUGUUCGGAAUUACUGGGCGUAAAGCGCACGUAGGCGGAUCUUUAAGUCAGGGGUGAAAUCCUGGAGCUCAACUCCAGAACUGCCUUUGAUACUGAGGAUCUCGAGUCCGGGAGAGGUGAGUGGAACUGCGAGUGUAGAGGUGAAAUUCGUAGAUAUUCGCAAGAACACCAGUGGCGAAGGCGGCUCACUGGCCCGGUACUGACGCUGAGGUGCGAAAGCGUGGGGAGCAAACAGG